AAACCAACAGGGAUUGCCUUAGUAGCGGCGAGUGAAGCGGCAAAAGCUCAAAUUUGAAAUCUGGCGCCUUCGGUGUCCGAGUUGUAAUUUGAAGAUUGUAACCUUGGGGUUGGCUCUUGUCUAUGUUUCUUGGAACAGGACGUCACAGAGGGUGAGAAUCCCGUGCGAUGAGAUGCCCAAUUCUAUGUAAGGUGCUUUCGAAGAGUCGAGUUGUUUGGGAAUGCAGCUCUAAGUGGGUGGUAAAUUCCAUCUAAAGCUAAAUAUUGGCGAGAGACCGAUAGCGAACAAGUACAGUGAUGGAAAGAUGAAAAGAACUUUGAAAAGAGAGUGAAAAAGUACGUGAAAUUGUUGAAAGGGAAGGGUUUGAGAUCAGACUGGAUAUUUUGUGAGCCUUGCCUUCGUGGCGGGGUGACCCGCAGCUUAUCGGGCCAGCAUCGGUUUGGGCGGUAGGAUAAUGGCGUAGGAAGGUGACUGUACUUCGGUGAAGUGUUAUAGCCUGCGUUGAUGCUGCCUGCCUAGACCGAGGACUGCGAUUUUAUCAAGGAUGCUGGCAUAAUGAUCCCAAACCGC
rnacentral:rRNA from 1 species